GUGGGAGAUAAAUUAUACAUACUUACAAGACAUUUAUUGUAUAGUCAAACCAUGGAUACAAAGAAACAAAUCAAUAAGUCAAAUCAAGAUGUGUAUGUGUGGCGAAUGAAUGGUGUAUGGUGAUAACAAUGGUGGAAGCCUAAUUCUACUUUUGCUCUUUGAGGGGAUACAUACCUUCCUUGCUUUUUGAAAUUUUGUGAGGAGAAUGAGAUGCUCUAUAUUUUCUUUUUCUUUCCUCUCAGGUGGGUAUCUUGUACCCCUAAUUCUACUGUCGGACACUUGUCCAUUUUUACCUCUUGUCUCACUCUUUCUUUUCUUUCGAGGUUCCGGGAACUUGCCCCUUUUUAUUUCCUCGUAUCUUUUUUUUAGAGCACUCAUCUCUUGAGAUAAUAUAGUAAGUGGUAGUAACAAGACAACUUGAGCAUUUAUUUCACAGGGGAAAAAUAGAAAUAUUUUUGACUAUUCUCUCUUGGAUUAGGAGUAGAAUAUUUUUGGGUGGUUCUGGAGAUGGAAAUGGGUGGAUAUAUGUGGAUGGUACUUCCGGAGUAGAAGUAGCAUGUAUGAGUGAACGUGCAAGUGAAUCUUGAUUUAACCACAUGACAAGCUCCUAGGGGUCUACACAGCUUGACCACACUCAAUGCUUAUAAGCAGUAAAAAGUAAAUGCGUGGUUCAAAGUUUAGCAAGCAUGUAUAUAUGGCUGUGGUAGGAAUUUAAACUCUCAUCAUACAGAAACUCAUCAUGUGUUAUUUUAAAGAUUUUCAAAGAUAAAAUUCUCUAGAAUUCUAGCAUCUCUAGGAAC
rnacentral:lncRNA from 1 species